UCUGGGCGGGCGCCGACCGGCGGCAGCACUAAUAGGGGCCCGCGGCCCCUCCCCUCAGCCGCCCCUGGGGCUGGCCGGCCGGACUGGGCCGGCCCCCGGUCCCCGCCGGAAGGCCCCGGGACACCCUUUCGGGCCAAUCCCUCGCCUUCGCCCCGUUCUGGGCGCGUCGCCUCACGACCUUCUUUUCUCCUUCGUCCUCUCGCCCUCCUGCGGCCCGCUCACCCGCUUCCCCCGCCCCCAUCUCGCCUAGCCUAGCCUUUGGCCCGGGCCUCCUAGGCUCAGCCACGGGCCGGGAAGGGACAGCGCCUCCCGGGCGCCGCCGCUGGGAAGCGCCCUCUCCCCUCCCUCCCCCCAGAUCCUCCUGGCCUGCCGCCAGUGCCCCCGUGCCCCCUCUUUGUCCCGUCUCACCCUGCCCUCCCUUCCAAGUCCAAACCACUGGCCCCAGUGGGGGAAAGGCCGGGAGAAGACUCGGAGCAUCUCCCAGCCCAAGGGAGAAUCGAGGCAAUCCCGUGGGACCCUACUCAUUGGGCACAUCGGGAAACCCCCAGAAAGCCCAGAAAGAAAAAGACUUGGAGGGUGGAGGAGCCCAGAAAAAGGCCUGGACAAACAGGGAGGUUUCCCAGGAACGGGGCCCAAGGCAGUCCUGUGACUCGGGGCAUUGCGGGGCUGGUUAGUUUUCUCCUUUCUGGCCCCAUCACUGCGUGGGAACCGCAGGCCCAUCCGGCAAUCCCUUAUCCCUAAAGCUCCCGGCUUUCCUUUUUGGUCAGCCUUGAUCUGCCCGCACCUUUGAAAUCGUCCUCCCUGGGAAGAGCUAAGAUGCUCCGACUCUUUAGACCUCAGAAAGGGAGACAAGCCCGGAAGCCUCCGGUCCAUUAGAAUACUUCAAGACGCUAUAUACCCAGUAGACAAGAAGAGUGGCAAAGGCUAGGCAGUUGGGUUUGCCUGAUUGCCCAGAUCACAUAGCUAGGAAGUGUCCUUGGUCCGAUUUGAACCCAGGUCCUUCCUACCCCAAGCCUGCUGUUCUAUCCCCAGUGGUACCUAGCUGCCCUCAAGUCAAGUUUUGUUUGUUUGUUUUUGUUGUUGUUUUAAACAUUCAGCUGGGAGGGGGCCCAGAAGAUCCCGGAAUACUGCCCUAUUGAGCUGAGGUCGAGAUCUGAGAGCUGAGAGUGAUCUCAGACCCUGGAAAGGAGAGAGGGACCAGGCAGGGUGUAUGGGGGCAGGGUGGGGUUGGAGGAAUCCUCAGAGAUUUGGUCUGGAAGCGGAGGAAGUCCUCAAUUUUAGUUAAUUAUCCUGGCUGACUAGGAUGCUAAACUCAAUUGUCUGUAUGCUGCUAAAGAAAUGCUAGUGCUCUCCAUUCUCUUCUAAGCUGAAGUACCUGGGGGCAAAGCCCUGAUUGUCUAGACCUGGUUAAAACUCCGAGAAACACCCGGCAGGGUGGGGAUGGCCAAAUACCUUGGGGAAAUCUGGGCGGAGCGGGACUAGAGAAAGGUAGCUGGAUACCAAACAGAGCCAGAGAAUAAUUCAGUUCAGUAGAAGUCCUCAGACUUAGUUUGUGCUAGCUGUUGGUUAGAUGAAGAAAUGGCACAGUCUCUGCCCUCAGGGAGUUUCCAGGGAAGGGGGAGAAUGAGGUGCUCAGCCCUCUUAUCCAUCUGUCAUAAGAUGAUGAGAAUAAAGGAGGGGAAUGACGGGAUGCUCUUGGAAGAUCUGAGGAGUUACAUUAUUUUCCACUGGUAGCAGGUCAGUCAGGAGCAGGGUGAGCUGGAGAUGGACCUUGCAGGUAGAGAAGGAUAUAAGCACAGAUGAAGAUGACGAGUCUCCAUGUAUCAGGGACAGGCUGCAUGGCUGCUUGGAGGAGGUGGGAGCCUAGAGGAAGACUGAGGAGCAGUGGGCACUGGAAGAGGAGCUUGACUGAGAGUCCACAGUCUGCAUGAAGGGAUGGAGGGUAAAAUAAGACUGGAGGGAUUUGCUUGAGGGAUUUGGCAUUAGAAACGCCAAGCCCAGUCUGCAUUUUCUCCAAUAAGUAAUAGGGAGCUACUGAAGUUUUCUGAGCGACAUGAACAGAACUGUGCAUCAUGAAGAUUAUUUUGUUGAAAGUAUAAAGCCUAGUUAUAGGGAUCGAUAGAUAAAACAUUUGACAAGAGUUUACAGUGUGCCUAACAAUGUGCUGGCGAUAUGAAUACAAGCAAGCAAGACAGUCCUAACCCUCAAGGAGCUUGCAUUCUGCUGGGGGAAGAGGAGACGAAAAGUCAUGGUAGACAAAGGGACACUGCACAGGGAGACCAUUUAAGAGGCUAAUGUGGUCUGGGUGACAGGUGGCAAGCGUGUCUAUUAGGGUUAUUGGAAAGGAAAGAAGAGAUGUAAGAGAACUGAUGAAGGCAGAAGUGCAGGUCUUGGCAAUUGACUGGUGGGCAAUGUUGAAACCAUCUAAUCUCCUGUUUCUCUUACUCUAUAUCCAGUCAACAGUGUCCACUGAUGAGUGUGGUGGACAAAAACAGGGAAGUCAGAGGGCAGGGAGAGAAAAAAUGGCAAGUUCAGUGGGGGGCUGGGGGGAAGAUGCUGACUUUGGUAUGUUGGAGUAAUAUCUAGUUUGGUUCAGGAGAAACAGUACUGAAUAUGGAGUCAGAGUACCUGAGUUCAGAUUCUGGCUCUUCCAUUUAUUAGCUUGAUGACCUUGGGCAAGUCAUUGAACCUGAACUCUAGGUCCCUGUUUCCCAGUUGCAAAAUGAGAGGAUUGCACUAAGUGACCACUUCAAGUCCCCUGUAGCUCUGAAUUCACAAUCCCAUGUGAAUCUAGCUGGUAGGGGGGAAUGUCAGUCUGAAACCCAAGAGAGAGACUGAAGCUAACCACAGAAAUUUGGGAGUCAUCUGUAUAUAAAGCUGAUGAUGGACUGCCAUGUGAGUGGCUGAGAAGACCACAGGACAGAGUGUAGAAAGAAAAGGGAAAAGAGUCAGAGACAAAGGCUUGGUGCAUGCCCACAUGGAGGAGGAUCAGCUAGGAAUGGAGGCUGAAGAUGACUGGUUAGACCAGUAGGAUGGGUCAAUGGGUCAUGCACGCAAAGGGAGGAGAGAGCAUUUAAGGGGGGUUGUGGAUAAACAGUGCCAAGUGUUGGAGAAAGAGCAAGGAGACUGAGGACUGAGAAAAGGCCAUUCAGUGGAUCUGACUGUGAAGAUACAUUGGCCAUUGCAGGGGCAAUUUCAGUGGAGUGGAAGAGUGUGGUCUGAAUAAAGGGAUUAAAAAGACAGGGUAGUGAGGAAGUAGAGGCAACACUCUUCCUAGGUGUUUAUUACAGCAUAACUUGGAUGAAUAUAGGCGAAUCUAUUCUACUAUAAUAUAUGGACAUAUGAUAGAUAUACCUAUUCUAUAUCUAAUCUUGAUGAUUUGGUGGUUUAUAAUGGCAGCAGAAAAAAAUAAUGACAAGUCAAAGCAUUGAAGUCUAAUCCUACCUCUGACUACUGCUACCUAUGGGAUGUGAGACAAGUAUCAAGUAUUUUAAUUGACUUGGGCCUCAGUUUCCUCUGGUAUAAAAUGAAGGGUUUGAACUAGAUGACUUCUGAGGUCUCUUCAAGGUCUAUAUUUAUGAUCUUAGGACUGUAUUGGUGAGCCUAUGGCACUCAUGCCAGGGGGGGGCUGCUCCCUUCCCUCUCUCCAUCUCUCUGCCCAGCAGCCCAAUGGGAGUGUUUCCUGCCUCCCCUGUCUAGAGUAAGGGGACAGACAGCUCACAUGAGGUGUGAGGGUGCAGUUUGGGCACUCAGUCUCUAAAAAGUUUGCCAUCACUGUCAUAGGAGAACAAUAGCAGCAGGAGUUUGGAGCAUCAUGGGUCUAGUGGACCAAAGAUAGGUCUUGGAGUCAGGAAGAUGUGGGUUGUAGUCUCACCUCUGACAUUUCCUAGCUGUAUGACUCUAAGGCAAGGAUCUUCUGGCACUUCGCCAAGGCUCUAACCUAGGUGACUUGCAAUCUGCAUAGAGGAGGGAAUUCCUACCUGAGGAAAUCACACUGAGCACUUUCAGAUUGAGAAAGUACAUUCCUUCCAACAACCAGCUCCAGCUGGGUAGUGCAAGUUUUAUCACAGUCCUUUAGAUGAGGAAACAGACAGAAAAGGGAGGGACACUGGGGAACUUUAUGUAAUGUGUUAUUCUUUAAGGAGAAAAAAUAGAAGUGUCUAUUCCGGUCCUUGAGGGUGCAUGACAUAGUAGAUAGAGAGCUGAACUCAAAGCCUGAGAACCUGGUUCAAGUCUUGCCUCUGACUCCUACUGCCUGAGUGAUCCUGGCAAGUCAUUUAAAGUCUCAGUCCUCCAGCUAAUUCUCUAAGAUUAUAUAUUGGAGGAGUUUUGGCAUUAUUUGAGUAUUUUCUUAUAGCAGUGACCAGUAUGGAAAUAUGUUUUGCAUGAUAAUACAUGCAUAACCCAGAUCAAAUUUCUUACCAUCUUGGGGAGAGGGAGGAAGGGAGGGAGACAAUUUGGAUCUUAUAAUUUUGGAAAAUAUAUGUUGAAAAUUACUAUUGCAUGUAAUUUGGAAAAGAAUUUUUUUUUUAAAAAGGAAGAUAAUAUUCACACCAAAAAAUAUUUUACAUUGGAGAGAAGAUAUUCACCUUCAUCAGGAGUUUCCUCACUUGGAAGUUCAUUCAUUUCUUUUUCCUUCUUCUUUUUUCCUUCCUUCCUUCCUUCCUUCCUUCCUUCCUUCCUUCCUUCCUUCCACCCUCCCUUCCUCCCUCCCUCCCUCCCUCCCUCUCUCUCUCUCUCUCUCUUUCUUUCUUUCUUUCUUUCUUUCUUUCUUUCUUUCUUUCUUUCUUUCUUUCUUUCUUUCUUUCUUUCUUUCUUUCUUUCUUUCUUUCUUUCUUUCUUUCUUUCUUUCUUUCUUUCUUUCUUUCUUUCUUCCUUCCUUCCUUCCUUCCUUCCUUCCUUCCUUCCUUCCUUCCUUUCCCUCUUUCUGUCCUUCCCUUUUCCUCUCUUACCUGUCUAUCCAUCUUUCUAUCAUUUAUCAUCUCAGUCAUCUAUAUAACUUAAUAUCAUUAUUUUUAUUAUACUAUUUUGUAAUAUAUAAUCACGUAUUUUCUAUCAUUAUCUAGCAUUCUUUUCUCUGUGCCUCUAGGUCUCUACCUGAAAAAGUUUAAGAAAUAAAGACAUUUCUGAGCCAUCAUUCUGAGCUGAAGAGCCAAAUUUUCAACUCCAAAUGACGGCCCAGAGAUUUUGUUUAUUUCUUACAGUUUCUCCACCUGAUGGGACAGAGGAAAGGAUUCAGGAUUCUGAGAUCAGUUCUGGGGUCGUUCAGGAGCUCGGGGGACUUGCUGUUUUCUGCCUCCUCAUUAAAGAUCCUAGCUGCUCUGAACUGAAUGAGUCGUGUGUAGUGGUCGAGAAGAAGAGGCCCUCUGGGGUGGACUUGUGUCUCUACUGGAGUUUAAUUUGACGAAAUUGGUUCCUCCCCGGAGUUGGCUGGACUUUGUCUCCAAGUCUACAGCUGGGUGCUUUCUGUUCCUUCUCAGCAGAGAAAAUUUGUGUGGGAGGUCAGGGGUGGGGGGGACCUCAUCUAAGUGGGCUAAGUGUUUGCUGCUCACGAGCUCUAGAUGUCAUUUGCCUUUGAGGGAAGUUUAAAGUUGUGUUGGGUUCGGAGGAGGACAUGCGGUGUCCAGAGGAGCCGGUGAGAGGGUACCUGCAAUUGUAGGAGUCAAUGUGAGAAGAGAAAUCAGCACUGGAUUUAGUGUUGGCAGACUUGGGCUCAAAUGCCAACUCUGGCACUUAUUAUCUACCUAGCCUUGGGUGAGUCAGUUAACCUCUUUGGGCCUCAGUUUCCUCAUCUGUAAAAUAUGGGGACCCAGGUCUCUAAGGUGCAAUGAAGCUAUCGAGGCACUCAGCGAGGUCCUAAGGGCAGUCCCUGCCACCAAGGAGCUAACUAUUGGCAAAAUAGAACACAUUACCCAAAUAGGUUGAGUCAGAUAAAAACUGAGCAGGGAGAGAGCAUUAAUAAUAACCUAAGGGGAGAGGGGUUAGUCAAGGGUUCAUGGAGAAGAUAGCCCUGAAGGCAGAUAAAAUUUCUUAAUGGCAGGAGAUGCAUAAUAUAUACUUUCUGUCUUAGAAUCAAUAGUGGGUAUUGGUUCUAAGGCAGAAGGAUAGUAAGAGCUAGGCAAUGGGGGUGAAGUGACUUGCCCAGGGUCACACAGCUAAGAAAUGUGUGGGGCUGAUUUGAACCCAAGACCUCCAUCUGUAGGCUUGGCUCUUAAUCCAUUUAUCACCCAGCUGCCUCCCACAAUAUAUAAUAAUUGUUAAUUAAUUAAAAUGAUUAAUCACUGACAACAUUUAUAUUAUGUAUCCUAUACUAAUUAUUAAGAAUAAAUAAAUAGUAAUAAUCAUCUGCUAAGUGUAGUGCCUUAAGAGUUACAAAACUUCUGCAUUCACCGUCUCGUUUGAGUUUCACUCUAGCCUGUAGAUAGGUGCUACUAUCAUUCCUCUUCCCAUAUGAGCCAUUCAAGGCUCAGAGACAUUAAAUGACUUGCUCAGAGUCACACACACAGCUUCUAAGUAGAGGAAGAGGGGUUUGGGUUUGGAUCCGUGAAUCCUGGGGUCAUAGACUUAGAAAGGACUUUAGAGGUCCAGAGAAGAGAAGUUCAAUGACUUACCCAGGGUCUCAAAGCGAGUAAGUGGCUAAAGUGGGAUUGGAAUUGAGAUCUCUCUGAAAGCGCAUCCACUGCAGAGCGGGGGCGGAUUGAGUCUAGGAAGAGACGUCCAACAAGCAGAGGGAAGCCCAAGGAAAAGGCUUUUUCCUCCACUGACCUUCUUGUCUUUGGUGCUCCGGCAUCGGGAAUUUUGUCAGGGAAAAAGCUGUGGGCACGGAGCCUAGGGCUACCCAAAGAACCAAGCGUUGCUCAGCCAGUGGAGGAAGAGCGUGGGCAAGAGAGUGAGGAUCUGAGUUGUUCCGGAAAAGGAAACCUCAAAUGUGGUCCAUCUGACGGAAGGGUGCCUAGAUCUGGCUCUUCGGCUCCCAGAAGGCUUUGUUGAGAGCGCUCUCACAGUGAGGAUGGAGGCCACCUUCCUUUCGAGCUUCCAGACCGUUGUAAGCACGGAGGACGAGCUGGAAGGGGGAGUCCCUUAUAGCCUGGCACGCCGCCUUGGAGAGGCUAAUGGAGCUCUGGACAAGGGGUGCCCUUUGACUGACAGCAGCCAAGCCAAACACACUCACUUUAUGGACUUAUCAAUAACAUUGAGCCGGUACAGAGAUCGUGGGCUACCAGAGAAAAAGAACUCGCUCGGUGCAAACGGGGUUUCAUCUUCCAAAGACGGGCAGUAGCUUUGUUCCUUUCUGCCUGGCUUCGGCUGUCUCCCAGUGGGUCUCUAGCCGUGCCUUGUUCUCCUCCCAUCCUUUGCUUUUCCCAUUUUGAUCCUGGCUCGCUCUGUUUCGGGGUCUCUGCGGUCACCGAUGUUUAGCGUCUCCCAGUCUCCCGUCACCCUCCUACAAGGAAAAAUGCAGAAGCCAAUUUUGCUGCAUUUUAAAGCUGAUCUGGGUCUUUCGAAGGCAGUGAUUCUCCUUGCAAAUGUCUUCGGAGGUUGCCUUUGCAUCUAAUCACUGGCAGCUGGUUUCCUACUGCAGUGGCACGAGCCUGGGCAGUACCACAUGGGCUACAUUUUGCAACUUUUCUAAGUAAACUUUGAUCUGGACAUCUCGCAAGACUUGGGAAAACAAGGUCUUUGCGGUUCCACAGAUGCGUUUGCAGUAAGACUGCCCAGCCUUUGUUCUUCCAGCCAGCCCAGGGGUCAGGGAGUUUUCCAAGGCUGGCUAAGCUUCCAGGUGCUUAUCCAUAGAGGAAAUGCACAGUGAGGGAUGAGGGAGACGGUACCUGUUUUCUAGGAAAGAGUUUUAAACAUGGGUUGGAAAAAGUAGGGUUCAACUUUCUCUGUUCAUGGAAAGGAGACAUUUAUUGUGGAAGAGAAGGAAGUAUUUUUUUAAAGAAUUUUAAGACUUGACAGAACUUUUAUUUAUUUUUAAAAAUCCUUUCCUUCUGUCUUAUAAUCAAUACUAUGUAUUGGUUCCAAGGCAGAAGAGCAGUAAGGGCUAGACCAUAGGAGUGAAGUGACUUACCCAGGGUCACCCAGUUAGGAAGUGUCUGAGGUCAGAUUGGAACCCAGGGCCUCCUAUCUCUAGGCCUGGCUCUCCAUCCACUAAGCUACCCAGCUGCCCACUGACAGUUAUUGUUUUAAUUAAAGAUUUUUUUCAAUGA